rnacentral:rRNA from 1 species
UACGGAGGGUGCAAGCGUUAUCCGGAUUCACUGGGUUUAAAGGGUGCGUAGGUGGGCAGUUAAGUCAGUGGUGAAAUCUCCGGGCUCAACCCGGAAACUGCCAUUGAUACUAUCUGUCUUGAAUAUCGUGGAGGUAAGCGGAAUAUGUCAUGUAGCGGUGAAAUGCUUAGAUAUGACAUAGAACACCAAUUGCGAAGGCAGCUUACUACCCGAAUAUUGACACUGAGGCACGAAAAGCGUGGGGAUCAAACAGG